UACGAAGGGUGCGAGCGUUAUUCGGAGUUAUUGGGCGUAAAGGGCGCGUAGGCGGUCAGCUAAGUCAGCUGUUAAAACUCUCGGCUUAACCGAGAAAAAGCAGGUGAAACUGGUUGGCUAGAGGAUAGAAGAGAGAAGUGGAAUUCUCGGAGUAGCGGUAAAAUGCGUAGAUCUCGAGAGGAACACCGAUGGCGAAGGCAGCUUCUUGGUCUAUAACUGACGCUGAGGCGCGAAAGCGUGGGGAGCAAACAGG
rnacentral:rRNA from 1 species